ACCAGUUGUCCGACAGGGCAAUGCUGGGUAGCCACGCUCCAGUGGAUAAGAGCUGAAAGCAUCUAAGCUCGAAGUCAUCCGAAAGACGAGGCAUCUCAGGGGACUCAUAGAAGAUGAGUUUGAUAGACAGCGGGUGUAAGUACCGAG
rnacentral:rRNA from 2 species